AGGAGAGUAAUUUUUUCGGAGUUAACAUUAUUUUCAUCAAAAAGAGUCAAAUUUAUACAUUAGAGAGUGAAAUCAUUUCAGUUGGUCAAUAGAAUCGGAGUAAAAAAAUAGAGGAAAUUAUAUCGGAGUAAAACAAGACCACGCCCACUGAAGUUCCUUAAGUUUCGUUUCUUCCGCCAUCUUGUCAUCCCGCAGUGGAAACGGAGGCGAAGGUUAGCUAUGUGCCAGGAGCAUUAUUACAAUGCAGAAGAUGGAAGUGGGUAUUUGGCUUGGAGACUGAAGUUUGUACAGAGGGAAGCUUCUAAUGGACAAAAAAAUGUCCCCAGACUGUCACAAACCCAAACAGGGGGACCAACAACUGAUAAGAGAGACUGUUUGAGAGAAGAAGACUAUCUUCUGACAGAUCGCUUGUCUCUUCAUCAGCUGUGUGCUUCAUCAGU